GGAGACAUAAAAACGUUUGAAUUCAACAGCUGUUAAACAGUCCCUGGAGUAAAUAAUGCUCUGCACAUCUCCUGCAUUACAUGGUGUAUUUUGAUCAAGCAGAUAAUCAGCUGGUUUACGUUGAGCUUAAUUUUGUGGUUAUGGCUGUAGUUGUGAGUCUGAGAGACACCUGCACAUUAUGUUCUUGAUGCAGUGAUUUACUCAGGGACACUGAGUGCUGUCUGUUUGGUUACAUGUGGUUACAAUGCGGUAGUAAAGCAGCAGUUUGAACUGUUACUGCUAAUCUUAAUAUAGCACGUAUUUAACAACAUGCUGUGUUGUGCAACUUGCACUGCAGGCUGCAUAAUCACUCGGGGGGGAAAGGGCAUGAAUUUAUGGCAAGUUGGCCGCUCCUCAGCAGCACGACAUGAAAACCGGGAUCAUAAUUUACUACCGUAUCCUGUGGAGCGUUUUCAUUCAGAAAAUGUGUUUUACGGAUGACAUUUCACAGACCGGUUCACUGAUGAUCUUGAUGUGUUAAAAGCUACAUGUGGGUGAAAGUGGGGGAGUACACAUGACAUGCGACAUGUUAUCAGUGGGCUGUGUUACUAUCUGCAGGUACAGUACGACUCCAGGAGCAUUUUAGGGAGCCUGUAAACCAGGGAAAUGAGACGGGAGGAGUCAAAGAGUAAAGCGAUUCAACAGCUUAAUGAUGUGGAGGCAUUCGGCUCCGUCAGGCAGUAAACUCUUUAAUAUGCUGUUAAUUAUUUCUGAGAGAUUGAAUAUUGAUUAGAAAGCAAAAUGGGUUUUAAUUACAACUCCAGCGCCACUCUAAAUGAAGACGAUUUUAGUCCUUACGUGAGGUGAUCAUCUAACAAACCUCAAGCUAUAUCGACUCUGUUUGAACUAAUUUUUUUACUUUGUUCUUUUUCGGUUGGAAAGUGAGAGUUCUGUCUCGCUGCUUCUCUCAACUCCCGCUUCAUAGCUGCCGAUGCUGAUCCCCUGUCUGAAUUUUAAAAUUCAUGACCUGAUUCCUGCUGCAUGUAGCACUCCGAAACAUGCAUAGCCCACCCAGGUAAGCAGACUCGAUCCCCCAUUACCACACCGCUGGCCUCGGAGAGCGGCUCAAUAGUUAACAUCGACGCCGGCGUGGACCUAGCGAAUGCAGAUGAGGACUGGCCUCUCAAGAUUGCCACGAGACGCUCGCUUUGCCGGGGCCUUAAGUGCUCUGUUCAUGAUUCAGCAUGCAGAGCCUUACCGGCUGUCAUGCAGUCGACCUCCCAGGGGGCCGUGUGUUAAUGCAGGCCCCGAGGCCGUGGAACCGGGGUAAUUGGGUUUGCGUGGUCAGUGUCGGGGCACCCCUGCCACCUCCAAAACAAAAGGCCACCUCGCAGGCGAGCUGUUAGGGGACAGCGAGACCAACCCCAUCCCGAUCACUGCUGUGACUCACCGCAAGCUCUUCAUCUCUGUGUUUUUGAAUUAACCUGCAGAUCACACAAUUUGGUGCUUGUGAGUGUGUUGCCGUCAUCUACCUAGAUUUCUCUCUGUACCUUUUUUAUUUAUUUCUAUAUAUAUAUAUAUAUAUAUAUAUAUAUAUAUAUAUAUAUAU
ensembl:lncRNA